GGAGAUGUGGCUUAGCAAUAGAGUGCCAGCCUGGCAAGCUCAAGGUCCUGAGUUCAAACCCUGGUAUCACCA
rnacentral:tRNA from 1 species